AUUGAACGCUGGCGGCAGGCCUAACACAUGCAAGUCGAGCGAGCGGCGGACGGGUGAGUAAUGUCUGGGAAACUGCCUGAUGGCGGGGGAUAACUACUGGAAACGGUAGCUAAUACCGCCUACCAUCAGCUGUGCCCAGAUGGGAUUAGCUAGUAGGUGGGGUAACGGCUCACAUAGGCGACGAUCCCUAGCUGGGCGGAGAGGAUGACCGGCCACACGGGAACUGAGACACGGUCCAGACUCCUACGGAGGGCAGAAGGGGGGAAUAUUGCACAAGGGGCGAAAGCCGGAUGCAGCCAUGCGGCGUGUGUGAAGAAGGCCUUGGGGUUGUAAACCACUUUCAGCGGGGAGGCGUUACCCGCAGAAGAAGCACCGGCUAACUCCGUGCCAGCAGCCGCGGUAAUAC
rnacentral:rRNA from 1 species